GGGAGAAGGAACUCGGCAAAUUGACACCGUAACUUCGGAAGAAGGUGUGCCUUUAGUAGGUGAACCAUUUACUUGGGGAGCCCAAUGAGGCCGCAGAGAAUCGGUGGCUGCAACUGUUUAUUAAAAACACAGCACUCUGCAAAGACGAAAGUCGACGUAUAGGGUGUGACUCCUGCCCGGCGCUGGAAGAUUAAAUGAUGGGGUGCAAGCUCUUGACUGAAGUCCCAGUAAACGGCGGCCGUAACUAUAACGGUCCUAAGGUAGCGAAAUUCCUUGUCGGGUAAGUUCCGACCUGCACGAAUGGAGUAAUGAUGGCCACACUGUCUCCUCCAGAGACUCAGCGAAGUUGAAAUGUUUGUGAUGAUGCAAUCUCCCCGCGGAAAGACGGAAAGACCCCAUGAACCUUUACUGUAGCUUUACAUUGGACUUUGAACAGAUCUGUGUAGGAUAGGUGGGAGGCUUUGAAGAGUGGACGCUAGUUUGCUUGGAGCCAACGUUGAAAUACCACCCUGGUGUGUUUGAGGUUCUAACCUUGGUCCCUUAUCGGGAUUGGGGACAGUGUAUGGUGGGCAGUUUGACUGGGGCGGUCUCCUCCCAAAGUGUAACGGAGGAGUUCGAAGGUACGCUAAAUACGGUCGGAAAUCGUGUUGAUAGUGCAUUGGCAUAAGCGUGCUUGACUGCGAGACUGACAAGUCGAGCAGGUACGAAAGUAGGACAAAGUGAUCCGGUGGUUCUGUAUGGAAGGGCCAUCGCUCAACGGAUAAAAGGUACUCAGGGGAUAACAGGCUGAUACCGCCCAAGAGUUCAUAUCGACGGCGGUGUUUGGCACCUCGAUGUCGGCUCAUCUCAUCCUGGGGCUGUAGCCGGUCCCAAGGGUAUGGCUGUUCGCCAUUUAAAGAGGUACGUGAGCUGGGUUUAAAACGUCGUGGGACAGUUUGGUCCCUAUCUUCCGUGGGCGCUGCAAGAUUGAGAGAGCCUGCUCCUAGUACGAGAGGACCGGAGUGGACGCACCUCUGGUGUAUCGGUUGUCACGCCAGUGGCAUCGCCGAGUAGCUAAGUGCGGAAGAGAUAACCGCUGAAAGCAUCUAAGCGGGAAACUCGUCUCAAGAUGAGUCUUGCCGGGGCCUAGAGCCCCCUGAAGGGUCGUUCGAGACCAGGACGUUGAUAGGCUGGGUGUGGAAGCGCGGUAACGCGUUAAGCUAACCAGUACUAAUUGCCCGUGAGGCUUGACCCU
rnacentral:rRNA from 1 species